ACAAAAAGUUAAUGUUGUUGAUCCAAAUCUUAGCAAAAAAUUGUUUAUUCAGUUGGUAUGGGGACAGACAUGCAAUUUGAAGACAACAUAUAUGCGCUAGUAUAUGCGUAAUUAAAAUGACGACGAAAAUAAGUUGUUUUGAAAACGAGUGCGGAGUAUUCCAGUUGUGACCUACUUCUUGUGGUGGUCAAGUUUCAUUGAAUGAUAGACUGCUUUUAAGAGUAUCAAAAUUUAUUCAUUGGCUACCAUUGUGAAUAACUGUACCUGUAACGGACAAGUUCAUCUGAAACCUUUUAAUUAGAUAUUAAAACUCUAAUCAUUGGCUAAGUUUGUCGCAGUUUUCCCAAUUGUAGAUAGUAAAAUUAAAGUUUUUCCUAGCAAACAAUCGUACAUUCUGUUGGUUAAUUUGAUCUGCAUAGUAUCAGGUUUGUGACCAACGUGCAAUAAUUGCUCAGGCCCGGAAUUUAUGUUUGAGUGACUGCAAAUGUUUUAAUACCCGCACACCGGAAACCCACUGCUACGGUUACGUGCCGGUUGUAAGGAAAGACGAGCAUCAUCGCCAACGUAAAUUUUUGCUUCUGGCCACUGAACCUUCCCAUCAACAACAAACUUUCAGAUGAUUCCGCCAACGAAACAAAGUGCCAACGAAUAUGCUUCGAAAUGAGAUAGUCAUGUCACGCGAUGACUACAAAGUUCGGAAAAUUUUUUCCCGAGCGGAGAACAUGAACAUGAUGCAAAAUGAGCCUAUUGGCAGCGACGGCCAUCGAAUCGAUUGGCAGAAGCAGAUUUUCCCCGCACUUUGCACGAUAGUCAUCAAUUCGAACAAUUUCAAGGUACGGAUCAAUUCUGCAGCUGCCCUUUCGGUAAUCAAAUUUGAAGCUCUCUGUUGACCGCACUAGAGCAGUCGGAUAAUCUUAUUGACUUCAAUGAGUACAAACACAGAGAUAAUCUGCAAGAGCAGCUUUGUCACUUUCGCACUUUCUUCGACUGACAACGCGGGACGACCUGGUGGCAAUGAGCAACGAAUUACUUCCUUUGUUCGAUACGGUGCGCCAGAAUUGGGACCGGGUCAUCAACCGGAUAUUGCCGGAAAAGGCGGUCAAACUGUUUGAAGCACACGUCAAACUGAAAGAAUUAUAACCGACGGUCAGAAAUGCGGAACCACGUGGUGCCGUUGAGAUGAUUUUGAACUGUUUCGCCAGUGAUGGACAUGUUUUGUAGAAUUAUUAU